CCUACGGGAGGCUGCAGUGGGGAAUAUUGGACAAUGGGGGGAACCCUGAUCCAGCCAUGCCGCGUGUGUGAAGAAGGCCCUCGGGUUGUAAAGCACUUUCAGUGAGGAAGAACGCCUGGUGGUUAAUACCCAUCAGGAAAGACAUCACUCACAGAAGAAGCACCGGCUAACUCCGUGCCAGCAGCCGCGGUAAUACGGAGGGUGCGAGCGUUAAUCGGAAUUACUGGGCGUAAAGCGCGCGUAGGUGGCUUGAUAAGCCGGUUGUGAAAGCCCCGGGCUCAACCUGGGAACGGCAUCCGGAACUGUCAAGCUAGAGUGCAGGAGAGGAAGGUAGAAUUCCCGGUGUAGCGGUGAAAUGCGUAGAGAUCGGGAGGAAUACCAGUGGCGAAGGCGGACUUCUGGACUGACACUGACACUGAGGUGCGAAAGCGUGGGUAGCAAACAGGAUUAGAUACCCGUGUAGUC
rnacentral:rRNA from 1 species